rnacentral:rRNA from 1 species
GCGGCCUAUCAGCUUGUUGGUGAGGUAACGGCUCACCAAGGCGACGACGGGUAGCCGACCUGAGAGGGUGACCGGCCACACUGGGACUGAGACACGGCCCAGACUCCUACGGGAGGCAGCAGUGGGGAAUAUUGCACAAUGGGCGAAAGCCUGAUGCAGCGACGCCGCGUGAGGGAUGACGGCCUUCGGGUUGUAAACCUCUUUUGACAGGGACGAAGCGCAAGUGACGGUACCUGUAGAAGAAGCACCGGCCAACUACGUGCCAGCAGCCGCGGUAAUACGUAGGGUGCGAGCGUUGUCCGGAAUUACUGGGCGUAAAGAGCUUGUAGGCGGUCUGUCACGUCGAUUGUGAAAACUUGCAGCUCAACUUCAAGCUUGCAGUGGAUACGGGCAGACUAGAGUACUUCAGGGGAGACUGGAAUUCCUGGUGUAGCGGUGAAAUGCGCAGAUAUCAGGAGGAACACCGGUGGCGAAGG